GAUGAACGCUGGCGGCGUGCCUAAUACAUGCAAGUCGAGCGAACAGACGAGGAGCUUGCUCCUCUGACGUUAGCGGCGGACGGGUGAGUAACACGUGGAUAACCUACCUAUAAGACUGGGAUAACUUCGGGAAACCGGAGCUAAUACCGGAUAAUAUAUUGAACCGCAUGGUUCAAUAGUGAAAGACGGUUUUGCUGUCACUUAUAGAUGGAUCCGCGCCGCAUUAGCUAGUUGGUAAGGUAACGGCUUACCAAGGCAACGAUCCGUAGCCGACCUUAGAGGGUGAUCGGCCACACUGGAACUGAGACACGGUCCAGACUCCUACGGGAGGCAGCAGUAGGGAAUCUUCCGCAAUGGGCGAAAGCCUGACGGAGCAACGCCGCGUGAGUGAUGAAGGUCUUCGGAUCGUAAAACUCUGUUAUUAGGGAAGAACAAAUGUGUAAGUAACUAUGCACGUCUUGACGGUACCUAAUCAGAAAGCCACGGCUAACUACGUG
rnacentral:rRNA from 1 species